GCGUCGGUAGAGCAACGGUUCAGCACGCGCCCUCGGAUAGGGUGGAAUGUUGUGGGUUCGAGUCCCAGCUGAUGCA